CACAAAGGCUAUACAUUUUUAACAUUGCUCCCUGUGAGUAAUUCCAUAACCCUAAGACAAUGGAAAAACUAACCACCCAGUGUAAAUGAUGAACUCCAAGAUAAAGAACAAGCCCCUCUCCAGUUAGCUAAUUUUUAAACAAACUUAUAAAACCCUUCAUUAGAGGCAAAGAGGGAUCAUCUUCCUCAUCUGAGAGGAGAGAUCACUGCUUUGUCUGUGAAGUGGCUCCUUUCUUCUAUAUUUGAUAAAUCUUUGUCUCUUUCUUUAAGCAGCUCACUCUUAAAUUCUUUCUCAAGCAACAGAAACCUAUUGGUGAUGGACCUGAGGGCCCCCCUCUAGGGGUUUUGGCCCCGCCAGCAUCACUUCUGUUAAUAUCACCACUGAACAGCUGCCUUCUUCUUCAAUCAGUCAGCCCCAAAAGCUCUGCUGACACUGCACUUCUUGGCAUAUCGUUGUGUGUGUGUCCUUUCAAGCACAAUUGGAAGCAAGUCAGAGAUGACUGCCUCAAGGAGAAGGAUUUUACACAUGAAGAGUACCAAGGGCAAUCACCAGAAAAAGAACUCUUCCUUUUGGAGGACAGGCAUGUUGAGAACACGGAAGUAAGUCUUAGGGACACCAUCAACCAUGGCAUCGGUUCUGAAGAAAAAUCACUGUAGCUAUGAAUGGAGAAGCAUCCACAUGCUUAGUCAUAUGGAUAAUGAUGCUUUGCAGGAAUUCCCUCUUUAAAAUCACAAAAUAAUAAAAUCACAAAAUUCCUCUAACAUUGUUUAAUGAACACAUAUUCCUUGAAUAUUUUAGACUUUGGAUGAAUUCAUGAGCACGAGAAAUUUUGAAACUGCAGGAGCACUAUACAGAAAGUUGGGGUUGUUUUUUUAAAUUGCUUGAGAUGAAAGAAAGUGAUAGACUUUGAAUAUAAAUCAGAACCUUAUCGAAAAUGGCAAAAUUAAAGCCUCUAUAAAGAACGUGAGAAA
rnacentral:lncRNA from 1 species